rnacentral:snRNA from 1 species
AUAUUUCAACAGCACAUAUACUAAAACUGGAACAAUAUAAAGAACAUUAGCAUGGCUCCUGUGCAAGAAUGAUCCUACUGACUUCAUUUUU